UGUGAGCUCGAUGAGUAGGGCGGGACACGUGGUAUCCUGUCUGAAUAUGGGGGGACCAUCCUCCAAGGCUAAAUACUCCUGACUGACCGAUAGUGAACCAGUACCGUGAGGGAAAGGCGAAAAGAACCCCGGCGAGGGGAGUGAAAAAGAACCUGAAACCGUGUACGUACAAGCAGUGGGAGCACCCUUCGGGGUGUGACUGCGUACCUUUUGUAUAAUGGGUCAGCGACUUAUAUUCUGUAGCAAGGUUAACCGAAUAGGGGAGCCGGAGGGAAACCGAGUCUUAACCGGGCGUUAAGUUGCAGGGUAUAGACCCGAAACCCGGUGAUCUAGCCAUGGGCAGGUUGAAGGUUGGGUAACACUAACUGG
rnacentral:rRNA from 2 species